GAAUUCGCCCUUGUACCGCGGCUGCUGGCACGGAGUUAGCCGGUGCUUCCUUUGAGGGUACCGUCAAGCAAUGAUGGUAUUAGCACCACUGCACUUCUUUCCCUCUGACAGAGCUUUACGACCCGAAGGCCUUCAUCACUCACGCGGCGUUGCUGCGUCAGGGUUUCCCCCAUUGCGCAAAAUUCCCCACUGCUGCCUCCCGUAGGAGUCUGGACCGNGUCUCAGUUCCAGUGUGGCUGAUCAUCCUCUCAGACCAGCUAACCAUCGUCGCCUUGGUGGGCUCUUACCCCACCAACUAGCUAAUGGUACGCGNACUCAUCCGAUAACGGUAGGCCCNAAGGUCCCCACCUUUUACCGCAGUCUCCGAAGAAACCGUGGUCUUAUCCGGUAUUAGCACCCC
rnacentral:rRNA from 1 species